rnacentral:rRNA from 1 species
UAAGACAGAGGGUGCAAACGUUGCUCGGAAUUACUGGGCGUAAAGCGCGUGUAGGCUGAUUGGAAAGUCGGGCGUGAAAUCCCUGGGCUCAACCCAGGAACUGCACUCGAAACUACUAGUCUUGAGUGAUGGAGAGGGAAGUGGAAUUCUCGGUGUAGAGGUGAAAUUCGUAGAUAUCGAGAGGAACACCAGUGGCGAAGGCGGCUUCCUGGACAUCAACUGACGCUGAGACGCGAAAGCGUGGGGAGCAAACAGGAUUAGAUACCCUGGUAGUCCACGCGGUAAACGAUGAGUGCUAGAUGUCGCGGGUAUUGACCCCCGCGGUGCCGUAGCUAACGCGUUAAGCACUCCGCCUGGGGAGUACGGCCGCAAGGCUA